rnacentral:rRNA from 1 species
ACAUGUUUACAUCAUAGCAUUAAUGCACUGGAUCCCAUCAGAAAUCCCCAGUUAAGCAUGCUCGGGCUAGAGUAGUAUUGAGAUGGGUGACUUCUCGGGAAUUCCUAGUGUUUUACAUGCA